GCAGCCUGAUGCAGCAACGCCGCGUGAGGGAUGACGGCCUUCGGGUUGUAACCUCUUUUAGCAGGGAAGAAGCGAAAGUGACGGUACCUGCAUAAAAAGCGCCGGCUAACUACGUGCCAGCAGCCGCGGUAAUACGUAGGGCGCAAGCGUUAUCCGGAAUUAUUGGGCGUAAAGAGCUCGUAGGCGGUUUGUCGCGUCUGCUGUGAAAUCCGGAGGCUCAACCUCCGGCCUGCAGUGGGUACGGGCAGACUAGAGUGCGGUAGGGGAGAUUGGAAUUCCUGGUGUAGCGGUGGAAUGCGCAGAUAUCAAGAGGAACACCGAUGGCGAAGGCACAUCUCUGGGCCGUAACUGACGCUGAGGAGCGAAAGGGUGGGGAGCAAACAGGCUUAUAUACCCUGGUAGUCCACCCCGUAAACGUUGGGAACUAGUUGUGGGGUCCAUUCCACGGAUUCCGUGACGCAGCUAACGCAUUAAGUUCCCCGCCUGGGGAGUACGGCCGCAAGGCUAAAACUCAAAGGAAUUGACGGGGACCCGCACAAGCGGCGGAGCAUGCGGAUUAAUUCGAUGCAACGCGAAGAACCUUACCAAGGCUUGACAUAUACGAGAACGGGCCAGAAAUGGUCAACUC
rnacentral:rRNA from 1 species